AGGAGCUUGCUCCUCUGACGUUAGCGGCGGACGGGUGAGUAACACGUGGUAUAACCUACCUAUAAGACUGGGAUAACUUCGGGAAACCGGAGCUAAUACCGGAUAAUAUAUUGAACCGCAUGGUUCAAUAGUGAAAGACGGUUUUGCUGNACUUAUAGAUGGAUCCGCGCCGCAUUAGCUAGUUGGUAAGGUAACGGCUUACCAAGGCAACGAUGCGUAGCCGACCUGAGAGGGUGAUCGGCCACACUGGAACUGAGACACGGUCCAGACUCCUACGGGAGGCAGCAGUAGGGAAUCUUCCGCAAUGGGCGAAAGCCUGACGGAGCAACGCCGCGUGAGUGAUGAAGGUCUUCGGAUCGUAAAACUCUGUUAUUAGGGAAGAACAAAUGUGUAAGUAACUAUGCACGUCUUGACGGUACCUAAUCAGAAAGCCACGGCUAACUACGUGCCAGCAGCCGCGGUAAUACGUAGGUGGCAAGCGUUAUCCGGAAUUAUUGGGCGUAAAGCGCGCGUAGGCGGUUUUUUAAGUCUGAUGUGAAAGCCCACGGCUC
rnacentral:rRNA from 2 species